rnacentral:rRNA from 1 species
GAUGAACGCUGGCGGCGUGCUUAACACAUGCAAGUCGAACGGAAAGGCCCAAACUUUCUUGGUUGCUCGAGUGGCGAACGGGUGAGUAACACGUGUGUGAUCUGCCCUUCACUUUGGGAUAAGCCUGGGAAACUGGGUCUAAUACCGGAUAGGACCAUCGUAUAGUGUCGGUGGUGGAAAGUUUUUCGGUGUGGGAUGAGCUCGCGGCCUAUCAGCUUGUUGGUGGGGUAAUGGCCUACCAAGGCGUCGACGGGUAGCCGGCCUGAGAGGGUGUACGGCCACAUUGGGACUGAGAGAAGGCACAGACUCGUACGGGAGGCAGCAGUGGGGAAUAUUGCCCGAGGGGCGCAGGCCUGAUGCAGCGAGGCCGCGUGGGGGAUGACGGCGUUCGGGUUGUAAAAUCCUUUCGUAAAGGACGAAGCGUUUUGUGACGGUACUUGGAGAAGAAGCACCGGCUAACUACGUG